rnacentral:rRNA from 1 species
AGAGUUUGAUCAUGGCUCAGGAUGAACGCUAGCUACAGGCUUAACACAUGCAAGUCGAGGGGCAGCAUGGUCUUAGCUUGCUAAGGCCGAUGGCGACCGGCGCACGGGUGAGUAACGCGUAUCCAACCUGCCUUACACUCUUGGACAGCCUUCUGAAAGGGAGAUUAAUACAAGAUGUUAUCAUGAGUAAGCAUUUUCGCAUGAUUAAAGGUUUACCGGUGUAAGAUGGGGAUGCGUUCCAUUAGAUAGUAGGCGGGGUAACGGCCCACCUAGUCUUCGAUGGAUAGGGGUUCUGAGAGGAAGGUCCCCCACAUUGGAACUGAGACACGGUCCAAACUCCUACGGGAGGCAGCAGUGAGGAAUAUUGGUCAAUGGACGAGAGUCUGAACCAGCCAAGUAGCGUGAAGGAUGAAGGUUCUAUGGAUUGUAAACUUCUUUUAUACGGGAAUAAACGGAUCCACGUGUGGAUUUUUGCAUGUACCGUAUGAAUAAGGAUCGGCUAACUCCGUGCCAGCAGCCGCGGUAAUACGGAGGAUCCGAGCGUUAUCCGGAUUUAUUGGGUUUAAAGGGAGCGUAGAUGGGUUGUUAAGUCAGUUGUGAAAGUUUGCGGCUCAACCGUAAAAUUGCAAUUGAUACUGGCAGUCUUGAGUACAGUUGAGGUAGGCGGAAUUCGUGGUGUAGCGGUGAAAUGCUUAGAUAUCACGAAGAACUCCGAUUGC